rnacentral:tRNA from 1 species
UUCCCCACGCCGGGAAUCGAACCCCGGCCUCCUGAAUGAGAGCCAGGUAUCCUAACCAAUAGACCAUGUGGGA